rnacentral:rRNA from 1 species
CAGCAUGAACUUAGCUUGCUAAGUUUGAUGGCGACCGGCGCACGGGUGAGUAACACGUAUCCAACCUUCCGUUUACUCAGGGAUAGCCUUUCGAAAGAAAGAUUAAUACCUGAUAGUAUGGUGAGAUUGCAUGAUAACACCAUUAAAGAUUUAUUGGUAAACGAUGGGGAUGCGUUCCAUUAGGUAGUAGGCGGGGUAACGGCCCACCUAGCCGACGAUGGAUAGGGGUUCUGAGAGGAUGAACGGCCACACUGGAACUGAGACACGGUCCAAACUCC